GAUGAGCGCUGGCGGCGUGCUUAACACAUGCAAGUCGAGCGGAGUUAUUUUGGAAGCUUGCUUUUAAGAUAACUUAGCGGCGGACGGGUGAGUAACGUGUGGGCAACCUGCCCCGUACAGUGGAAUAAUCACUUGAAAAGGUGACUAAUACCGCAUGUCGUCCUUUUGCCGCAUGGCAGAAUGAAAAAAGGAGUAAUCCGGUACGGGAUGGGCCCGCAUCUGAUUAGCUAGUUGGUGUGAUAACAGCGCACCAAGGCGACGAUCAGUAGCCGACCUGAGAGGGUGAUCGGCCACAUUGGGACUGAGACACGGCCCAAACUCCUACGGGAGGCAGCAGU
rnacentral:rRNA from 1 species